rnacentral:ncRNA from 1 species
AUAUUGUAGCCUCGUGCGAUUCGAGGCAAAAUGUGACCCCGAGCGGUAACGCUCGGCGGAAAAAUUCCUUAAAUUGCUGGAAACCCUGCAAGCAUCCUAAAAUACUACUAUGCGUAGUAGCAUGGUAGUGAUAAUUUUUAGGCGAUGCAGACAAUCAGCAGCCAAAUCCACGAAAGUGGAGAGGUUCAGAGACUAUAAUAGGAAUUACCAAUUCGUGUGCCUGCCGGUAGGCAGGAAUUGGUAAGUGGUAUAGUCCAUUCCUUUUAGCGAUAAAAGG